AAAAAAUCCAAGAUGUGGCCAAGUAAAUAAGAAUUGUGAAACAGAAAGUAUAGCGAUUGCUGAGAGCUAUGCCACUGCUUCUUAUUGAAACCUACCACGGAGAUGUUAUGCAAACAUAACCGGAUCGUUGCCGUUAUCUAACGUUUAGAGGGUUUAUCAUGAAGAUAAGCUAAACUAAGGUGGUACCACGUUUAUUCAGCACAAAGACGUCCUUAUA
rnacentral:ncRNA from 1 species